AUUGAACGCUGGCGGCAGGCCUAACACAUGCAAGUCGAGCGAGAAAGCACUUCGGUGUGAGUAGAGCGGCGGACGGGUGAGUAACGCGUAGGAAUCUACCAAGUAGUGGGGGACAACAUGGUGAAAACCAUGCUAAUACCGCAUACGCCCUACGGGGGAAAGCGGGGGAUCUUCGGACCUCGUGCUAUUUGAUGAGCCUGCGUAAGAUUAGCUAGUUGGUGAGGUAAAGGCUCACCAAGGCGACGAUCUUUAGCUGGUCUGAGAGGAUGAUCAGCCACACUGGGACUGAGACACGGCCCAGACUCCUACGGGAGGCAGCAGUGGGGAAUAUUGCACAAUGGGCGAAAGCCUGAUGCAGCCAUGCCGCGUGUGUGAAGAAGGCUCUAGGGUUGUAAAGCACUUUCAAUGGGGAGGAAAAGUUGGUAGUUAAUAGUUGCCAGCCGUGACGUUACCCAUAGAAGAAGCACCGGCUAACUCCG
rnacentral:rRNA from 1 species